GAGGGUAUAGCUCAGUGGUAGAGCACAUUUUAUAACAUGCAUGAGGUCCUGGGUUCGAUCCCCAGUACCUCCA
rnacentral:tRNA from 1 species